CUUCGAACCAGGAGGGUAAUCAUGAUCUCCACUAGCUCCGGCGACCUCUAUCCCUUCUUCAGCAAUAACAAGACUUGGAGCACCACCCUCUCCGCCACCACCUCCAACACCGACGUAUGGCAUCGCCGGCUUGGUCACCCCGGCCCUCAAGUUACUUCUUCCUUAGCAACCCAUGAUUUCCUUCCCUCUUGUAAUAAGAUUGCGCAUACACCAUGUAAUGCUUGUCAACUUGGACGGCAGCCGCACCUACCUUUCCCUACUUCACAUAGUCGCACCUUUGCUCUAUUUGAUUUAAUCCAUUGUGAUUUAUGGACCAGCCCCGUUGUAAGCUUUUCCUGCUAUCAAUAUUACUUGAUUGUGCUUGAUGAUUACACUCACUUCUCAUGGUCAUUUCCUCUUUGCAACAAGUCGGACACAUCGCUUACUCCCCAAUGCUUUUUCCCUUACGUUCGUACUCAAUACAAUGUGAUCAUCAAAGCCUUAUAG
rnacentral:rRNA from 1 species